rnacentral:lncRNA from 1 species
AUGGUUGAUUCUCUCUGGUUUUUGUUAAAGAAGCGUCUCUUUAAAACUCCUGGGUUCAAAAAAGAAUCUGAACCUGCUCAACUUUCUCCUCGGAAUAAUAUAUUUGAGGGUUCAUUCUUGAAUAUUAAAGGUUACAAAUUUUGGAGAAAACAAGAAUAAUUCCAGAAAGCUGAUGAUGAAACCAAUUUUUCUUUAUGUAUGGCUUGGUUUUCUUUGAGGGCAUCAACGGGUAGUUUUUUCCAGCAACUGACCAUAUGCGUUCAAAGAGGCAACCACCACUCGCUCAUACUUCAUAACCAUUUCAUCCAUGGGACACCCGGACCUUAAAAGAAGAUUUCAUUACAAUUUUACUUUUUACUUUCCGUGGAAGACUACAUACCUGGAAGGAGCAUGCCUAUGAGAGGGUCUGAAAGGGUAACGCUGGCAGUCGCGUAUAUAACGAGCGAUUCACAAUCAAAUUACAACAAAGCCAAACAAUGAAAACUGACUAAUACCGGAUAGACAUAUCCCUACAACUACGAUGACGGAUACUUAAGUGUCCUUGAAAACCCAUCACUGCCAGGCAUUGAUCCCCCACUCAUCAAAAUAAAAAAUGGCUGAGGCAAUUUUUUUUAUUGUUGAUUUUUAUAGAAUGACCAUAGAUUCUGAAAAUCAUUGAUUUUAAACUACAUAAUUUCACUUACGUAGUUUUGUAGUGAUGUAGAAAGAUACAUCUAUCUACUGACAUAUAUUUCCCUGAAUUUAGAUUUCUGCAAAAGUAAAAGGCUACCAGAUUAUUUUUUUUUUUUCUUUCGAUGAUACAUAGAAAAUGUUCUAAUCUAUCAAAUUCAGAGUUUAAAAUUAAAUACCGUUUUUUUUCAGCAUCUGGUUUUUUUUAAAGCUUAAAGGAAAGAGUGAAAAGUCAUAUUUCUAUUGUCAAUGUAGGUUAAAAAAACAAUUGAAAAUGACAAAAGUUGAAGGGAUGGCUCAAAUAAAUUGUGAUUUAAGGGCUCAAAGCAAAAAGCUAAAAACAGGAGACUUACCCUGGAUUAGUCAAAGUAGUGGGAGUGUGAAUGAUGACAUUUUCUUCGAUAAAUGACAAUAUUUCUAAGUGGCAAAAGAGCAGAGCUUCUGUUCUUUUGUUAGGUACAAAUGCUUCCUAAAAAAGA